CGUCCACCCGCCCACGUACGUUUAUCAAAAAAAAAAGUUCCACCCAAACAUCGAUCCAAAUCCCCUCCACCGCCGGCCUUCUUCGACCUCCUCUCCUCUCCCAAUCCACGAGUGUGUGCAGCCCCGAGCGCUGCAGCCGGCCGGCCAGGCCUCCGCACGACCGCCGCCACCGCCACCCUCGCCCCUCCCCUCACUAGAAGACGACGAGAAGAGAAUAGGUCAGGCGGCGGCUCUCAAUCCGAGAUCCGCCAAGGGCUUGGACCUGGAGAUCCACAUCCAUGGCCGACGGCUAGGACCUGGAGCUCCACCUCCAUGGCGCUGGCCGCAUCUCCCCAAUCACGAGCUCGCGCGCCUGGACAGGACCUCCAUCUGUCCGUCUGCUUCCGCUCCGUUUGGCCGACGACGCCAUGGCCGCCAAGAUAACGGAUUGUAAACAAUUUUGAGUUGCCCACAAGAGAAAUAGAGGUUUGGAGUGACAAUUGAAGCCUGCACAAACUGAAACUACCACAGGGGUGAUGGUUUCUUCAUAUGUAAUUCUAUCAGAGAUAUGUUCGAUGUUCAUGCAGAGCCAUGGACCAUUCUAUUCUCUCUGACCCCGGCGUCGGAGGCUGCCAGGACGGAGCCGAUUGCUCUGGCCAGCGAAGGGAUGGCAGAUGGCGAGUGGGUCAAUGUAUUUGGGGGUGAUCGACGGUGACUAGCGUGGCCCGGUGGGCGUUGUGCUCUUCAACCACUUGGAGGCGGACUUUGCUAUGAAGCACGGUGGCCACGUCGAACAGAUGAACGUCCAGGUGAUUUUGACACCGGAGGUCUUUCGAGGUGGAGGUCCUCGACGCCAUCGUCCGGGGGAAGGAGGAUUCGGGUACAUUGGCGUCUGAACUCCAAGCCUUGGUAGAUAUAUAUAGAGAAGUGAUUUGUUUAGGUUGGUGGUGGACCACUAGGGGAGGUACUUCGAUGAUGGUUGUGUGUCUGAUGUUAAAUGGAAUCCUGAGAUGGUUCUGUGACGUUGGUUUGCU